rnacentral:rRNA from 1 species
GAUGGACGCUGGCGGCGUGCCUAAUACAUGCAAGUCGAGCGAACAGACGAGGAGCUUGCUCCUUCGACGUUAGCGGCGGACGGGUGAGUAACACGUAGGUAACCUACCUAUAAGACUGGGAUAACUUCGGGAAACCGGAGCUAAUACCGGAUAAUAUUUCGAACCGCAUGGUUCGAUAGUGAAAGAUGGCUUUGCUAUCACUUAUAGAUGGACCUGCGCCGUAUUAGCUAGUUGGUAAGGUAACGGCUUACCAAGGCAACGAUACGUAGCCGACCUGAGAGGGUGAUCGGCCACACUGGAACUGAGACACGGCCCAGACUCCUACGGGAGGCGGCAGUAGGGAAUCUUCCGCAAUGGGCGAAAGCCUGACGGAGCAACGCCGCGUGAGUGAUGAAGGUCUUCGGAUCGUAAAACUCUGUUAUUAGGGAAGAACAAACGUGUAAGUAACUGUGCACGUCUUGACGGUACCUAAUCAGAAAGCCACGGCUAACUACGUG